GGGUACCAUCAUUCCUCAUUCUUGUUUGAUUUCAUUCCCCAGCCCUACCUGCCCCCAAUGAACGGCAUCUUCAGGAACUGGAGACUCUGAAUGGGGGCUAAAUUACAGAGCUACUCAUCCUUGGAACCACCAGGCCUAAAGCCCUUCUCACAACAGGAGUGUACUGAGAAUGUGGGGCAGCUCCAAAGACAAGCCUCUCUGGUUUCACAAGCUCCUGGAUACCAGGGUGAAAGAUGACCAAGAGAAUUCUAGGUGUCCAGAAUCCAUUCCCUGUCUGGCUAGCCCUCUUCUGCAGAGGAAAACACCACCUCUGACUCUGGGGGCAGCUGAGAGAAGAAGCUCAGGGCAGAACAGCGGCAAGAUGAUUCCCAACCUACUCUACAACUGCGUAGAAUAGGGCAUGUCCAGAGAAGCCAGUGAUUAUAAGAAGCAAGAGGCUGGAGUGUGACCUCCAAAUGGAAAGAGCAAGAUGAAGGACAUAAACAUGCUCUGGGUGUGAGGUAAGUACCUGAUAUGGAAUCUACCCUGAGCUAGGAGUGGGAGACCAGGGCAAAUUAGGAAGGCUUUGCCAGGAAUUCACUGAUUUAUAGGAGUAAAAGCCUUAUAAGCCUAUCAAAUAAAGUCUAC
rnacentral:lncRNA from 1 species